rnacentral:rRNA from 1 species
GACGAACGCUGGCGGCGUGCUUAACACAUGCAAGUCGAACGAUGAAGCCGGAGCUUGCUCUGGUGAAUUAGUGGCGAACGGGUGAGUAACACGUGAGUAACCUGCCCUUGACUCUGGGAUAACUGCGGGAAACUGUAGCUAAUACCGGAUACGACCCUCGGAGGCAUCUCCUGGGGGGUGGAAAGAAUUUCGGUCAAGGAUGGACUGGCGGCCUAUCGGCAAGUUGGUGAGGUAAAGGCUCACCAAGGCGACGACGGGUAGCCGGCCUGAGAGGGUGACCGGCCACACUGGGACUGGGACACGGCCCAGACUCCUACGGGAGGCAGCAGUGGGGAAUAUUGCACAAUGGGCGCAAGCCUGAUGCAGCAACGCCGCGUGAGGGAUGACGGCCUUCGGGUUGUAAACCUCUUUUAGCAGGGAAGAAGCGAAAGUGACGGUACCUGCAGAAAAAGCACCGGCUAACUACGUGCCAGCCGCCGCGGUAA